AAAAUUAUUUUUUUAUAUAUAUGUUUUAUUUAUUUAUUUGUUACGAGAGGAAAUUUCGUGGUGUGGUGGGUCUGCUGCCUUGGAGGUGCGCAGGGACCCUGCCUUUUUGCAUCCCUCCUUUCGAGCCCAUCCCCACUGCAAAACAUUUGUUUUUGCAAACUUAAAACUUUGAAAGAGAUAAGCUCGAAAGUCUCAAGCAAUUCUCUGCCAUCCUAUACUGCCAAGCUAUACUUUCUUCUAGGGUUCGACUAAUUUAUUAUUAUUAUUAUUUUCCUGGAUUUCGUCGCCAGGGAUGUACUCUGCACUACCUGGUGCAUCCCCCCUUCAUACCUCUGUUUGCUCAAGGUAAUGUGGGAUCUGUAUUCGGUGCCUUCCAUUUUUUCAAGUGGGAAAAAUCAGAAAGAUCUUACAGGGAAAAAAAAAAAAAAAAAAAAAAAAAAAAAAAGUAAGAAUGAAAACCAGGAAUGUUACUGAUCAUUGACGUUAUAUAAAGGAUUUGUUUCCUGUCCGAAUUUAUAGCCAUCUGUCUGUCGGUUGUUAUAUGUAGUGAAAUGGCACGCCUUAUAAUAUGCACUCCCCUGAACUUGAAUCUGUGGCCGUGUGCGCUACAAAUCUAGAAUUACAUAUAUUACAUGCUCACUGUAAAGCUGCCAAUGCGGCUCUCUGACAGAGCUUUAAGUAUCUACGAAAUUCGUAUCUUAUUACGAGCUAAUUUAUUUUAAACAUCAUAUUUACAUAAGCACAGCCAAGAUUGUUUCAUGCCACGGCUGCAAUGAACAUUUCGACUGAAACGUAAUCCUUAUAAUUCAAGGAAAUAACAUGCAAAGGAAGUAGUUUUCCAUCCUCCACCCCCUCUUUGACUGAUAUCUCUUAUAUUUGUUCUUGCAGAGUUUCCUUUUGUGUAUGGAGUGGACCCAAACUUACGUAGAUCUACUUUAUUGGUAUGCAAGGAAAAAAAAAAAAAAAAAAAAAAAAAAAAAAAGAUCGGAUGAGAGAUGGAAGUUAACUCCUUUGCUGGAGCCGUACAGCUCAUACAUUUGAUAUGAGAAUUACACAAUAUUGGUAGCACUACAAAAACAGCGAUUAUCUGGCAUGAUCAGCUCUGCUUGCACAUUUUUGGCUAAGAAAUUCAUGUCCUGAUAAUUCAACGCCGCCAGACAAGCCAGGAGGGAUGGAGACACAGAGCAAAGAAUAACGGAUGCAGAAGCAAGCUUAUACAGCAGCCCUUAAGUUAGAUUUGUCUUUGACUGUACUCAUUGGCAUAUCUUUAUUCAGUCUUUGGCCUCAUCUCCUCAAAAAGAGACACAGGGUUUGCUAAGAAGGAGCAAUAAACCGGGGAAGUUGCAAGAGACGCCAGAAGGUGGUAUAACGUAUUUCAUUCUGCGCUGGGAACCCGUCUUUCCUCUCCUGACUGACAUCACUCAACUGGCGGGGUAUAAAUAAAGAUAAAGAGACGUAUUUACAGUAUGUACAAUCACAGCUAUCUGCCCAGGAAGGUCUCUCUUUUUGUUCCUUUGCUUUUCUGCCCAGCAAAUGCCUACUCCACAAAGUAGAGAAAGGCAGAUAGAUGAGGGGAUUAAAACAACACCGAAAUAUUUCGAAAUGCAAACAGAACAGAGCAUUUAUUGUGCGAAAGCUAAAUCGGCUAAGAACUUGUUAGAAAGUUCAGUGCGGUUGGUUCCAAUAAAAAAUGAAACUCUUUUUCAUGUGGAACUGGAAUUACCGAUCCUUCUGAAGUGAGAACACAGCGGGGGUUUCCCUACCGAGGGACUUAGUGCAGCCAUAAAGUCAAGCAAAUACCAC